CACGCCGUAAACGAUGUCAACUAGCCGUUGGGAGCCUUGAGCUCUUAGUGGCGCAGCUAACGCAUUAAGUUGACCGCCUGGGGAGUACGGCCGCAAGGUUAAAACUCAAAUGAAUUGACGGGGGCCCGCACAAGCGGUGGAGCAUGUGGUUUAAUUCGAAGCAACGCGAAGAACCUUACCAAGGCUUGACAUAUAGAGGAAACGGCCAGAGAUGGUCGCCCCGCAAGGUCUCUAUACAGGUGG
rnacentral:rRNA from 1 species